GACGGGGGGGGCAAGUGUUCUUCGGAAUGACUGGGCGUCAAGGGCACGUAGGCGGUGAAUCGGGUUGAAAGUGAAAGUCGCCAAAAAGUGGCGGAAUGCUCUCGAAACCAAUUCACUUGAGUGGGACAGAGGGGAGUGGAAUUUCGUGUGUAGGGGUGAAAUCCGUAGAUCUACGAAGGAAGGCCAAAAGCGAAGGCAGCUCUCUGGGUCCCUACCGACGCUGGGGUGCGAAAGCAUGGGGAGCGAACAGG
rnacentral:rRNA from 1 species